rnacentral:rRNA from 1 species
UCUACGGGAGGCUGCAGUGAGGAAUAUUGGUCAAUGGGCGCAAGCCUUAACCAGCCAAGUCGCGUGAAUGAAGACGGUCCUCGGGAUUUUAAGCCUCUUUAGUCGGGGAGCAAAAGACGCCACUCGUGGCGUUCCGAGAGUCGCCGAAGUAAAAGCAUCGGAAAACUCCGUUCCAGCAGCCGCGGUAAUACGGGGGAGUCGAUCGGUAUCCGGAUUUAUUGGGGUUAAUGGGUGCGGAGGCGGAAGAUCACGUCAGCGGUAAAAUGGAGAGGCUCAACCAGUUCGAGCCGUUGAAACUGGUAUUCUUGAGUGAGCGAGAAGUAUGCGGAAUGCGUGGUGUAGCGGUGAAAUGCAUAGAUAUCACGCAGAACUCCGGUUGCGAAGGCAGCAUACCGGCGCUCAACUGACGCUCAGGCACGAAAGUGUGGGUAGCGAACAGGAUUAGAUACCCCUGUAGUC